UUUGAGAUGCCACUGCGAGAUGUUUGAGAUGCCACUGCGAGAUGUUUCGUAAACAGGGGAUGGGGAACACAUAGGCGUAGUGGCAUCUCAAACAUCUCGCAGUGGUAUCUCAAA
rnacentral:pre_miRNA from 1 species